UACGUAGGCAGCGAGCGUUGUUCGGAGUUACUGGGCGUAAAGCGUGCGUAGGCGGUGUCUUAAGUUUGUUGUGAAAUCUCCCGGCUUAACCGGGGAGGGUGCGGCGAAUACUGAGAUGCUGGAGUGCGGGAGAGGUAAGCGGAAUUCCUGGUGUAGCGGUGAAAUGCGUAGAUAUCAGGAGGAACACCGGUGGCGAAGGCGGGUCUCUGGGCCGAUAUUGACGCUGAGGAGCGAAAGCGUGGGGAGCGAACAGG
rnacentral:rRNA from 1 species